CGGGAAAUCAGGCCAAAAAUCGCGAGGAAUUAAAUAGCCAAAGAGGUUUCAAUGGGACGGGGUGCAGGUCCACGAAGGGAGGCAAGAGCAGCAGCAACUGCCGAAACCAUAGCGACGGUUGAUACUGACUCGAGGUACGAGACUUCAGACUUAAGGCAGCGGUCAAUAUGCACGGGAGGCGGUGCUAGUCGUCCCACGAACUCAGCCACGUACCGCUGGACUCCGCGCCACGCCGGGCCCAGGAAUCCUCCAGUCCGCGACUCGGAAGACCCGAACCCCGGAGAGGGACAGCGGGGCAAAGGGGCCUGAUAUCCUCGGGGAUAGCACGGAAGAUCAUAUCUAUGCCAAGGCCAAGAACAGCAACUCCAAUACUACCAAGGAGAGAAGUGCCAAUUUGAGCUAACACAGUGACCAACUUGUUAAUUAUGCCAGUUGUGAUGUUCGAGCCUACGAGUUUAACAGCCACAGCACUGGCUGCGGAGGUGGCUUCUCCCAGGAUGACUGAAAUAACCUUUUGUACUAUUGCAAUUUUCUCUGUUUCCCGUUCCUUAAUAUCUUGAAGUUUUCUAUAAAGGGUUGGCUCUAGUUUAUCUUUUAGUGCUUCAUCAACCUUUUGCAGUUCCUUUUGGAUUUUUGUCACAGCAUAGAUGAUGAUAUCACAGUUUUCUUUUAUGGUACCAUCUCUUUUCAUUUCAAUGGAGGCCAGCCUGCAGCCCAAGUGCACGUUCAAGACAUCUAUGAGCUUAUUGGUGGCCUGGAAGCUGUCAGAUAAGCAGUCAAGGAGCUGCUGGUGAAGACGGGUUACUUCCUGCCGCCUCCGUGGGUUCUCUGGGUAGAGGAAGUCACUCUGAGCCAUAUUUCAAUUAUGAUCUCUGAAAAAUAAAAUAAUAAAUCUUCACUUAAAGCCUUGAAAAAUA